rnacentral:lncRNA from 1 species
CUAAUCAUCAAAUCAACCUACUCUAGGAUCUAUGACAUGAUAUGUUACAUAGAAAAUCUGAAAUAAUCACAUGAUAAAAUCUGCAUGCAUGGAUGUAAGCCGUAGAUCAAAUCUACACCUAUCUGAGUUCAGAACUCGAUACCUGAGUGCAGAUCGAUGAUCGUUGCUAUUGAUAGAUAUAGUGAAGAUGAUCUUUGCUGGUUGCUUGAAGUCACACAUAUGUCCGGCCU